ensembl:lncRNA
AUUGCAGGAGAGAUACGAGAAGGAGAAGGAAACCUUUUUGGUACCGGGGGGGGGGGGUUAAAACCAGCAGACUCAAAGGAGCAGUAUAGAGGACACAGUGCAUGUGGUUCAUUGUUAUAUAUUGUUAUAUACCCAAAAUGAAGACUGACAGCAACAAAAUGCAGAGUAUAAUAAAGCGUUUAGUAGUCGAGUAAAGAGAAGGAAGAGUCAAAGCGUUUUGAAUGUUGGGAUUUCCUGGAUUUACCUCCAUUGGAUGGACUGAACCACAACAACAGCGAGUCAUCAGAGAGGUGGGCCUCCGAGUGUGCUUUGACCCUGAGGGCCGAAUGCGGGUCCCAUUAUACAAGUCAGAGAUCUUUUUUGCAGGUAACGACGUCGAGCAGAGCAACAUCUGGAAGUUCAUCAGUCUCUCCGGGCGGAGUUGGCGGUGCCGAUGCCGGUAGGGCUGAGUCGUGUCUUUGGAAGUGGUUGGGAACUGUAAGGUGCUGUCUUAGCUGGAAUGCAGUUUCUGAGAUACGGAGGAGGAGAGAUUUAACAUCCUUCUGUGCAAAAUACUCCCUAUGCACGACGGUGGUGGGGAAUCCAGGGAAAUAACUCACAAUCUCCGCCACUCAAAUUCUGUUUAUGUGUUUAACUGUUAUGCUGCUGAUGUGAC